ensembl:lncRNA LINC00607 long intergenic non-protein coding RNA 607
UUUCUCUGAAAGUGUUCCUCAAAGAAGCCAGUAUUUGAAUUGUUUGCUACUCAGCCACGAAGAGAUAAGAAGCCUGUGUCAGAAUGCAUGUGAACACGCUGCUUGCUUCCUAGAAGCCUUGCUUUGAAAAAGAAGGUCUGCCCAUCCACAUCAUUUUGGCUGAAUGCGUGACCUAUCCAAUCCUUCCUCUCAUGGAAACACCAACUCAUCCAUGCCCUCUGUGCUGAAACUUCGUCUCAGCCUGCUGGAAUCACCUGCACCCCAUGGGAACUGUAGCCAUAUCUUCAGUCCUGUGAGCCCCCGUCAUGGCCUGUCACAGGAGUAAAUGAGGAGUAAGGCCCAGAAUACUCAGUACCUCUCAAUGACCCUCAGACGCUGUAGGAAGAGGAUUGGUUCACCUUUUAACCCAGAAUUUCUCACAUUGAAUGGACAGGAUGCAUUCCAAGAGGCCAGAGUAUGUGCAUCUCAGCUCCUGAUGGUUUCCACCACCACCAUUACUUUCUCUAUGUCAAGAUACCUGGGAAGCCGGUGUUUCAUUUGCAUUCUUGGAGCCCAGGAACUGUCUUCUACAAACUUUUCUU